AAUGCGUUAUCUCGUUGUCCCUUUCCUCCGUCGCUCCCCUUUCGGGUUGCGACGGGGACCUCGAAGCAAUCCCCGUGUCCCGUGCAGUCCUCGGCGUUUUGUUGAGGCUGCUGUGGUCCACGAGUGCUUGCUCGUUCUCUCGGAUGCGGAACACUACGUGAGAGCGGGAGUCCACGACCCCCGAUCGCUCGAAAUUGUCCCUUUGACGCGGAAGACGUUCGCAACUGUGCCAACCUUUGCCCCCGGGCUCUUAGGCUUGCGCACAGCUUGCGGUGU
rnacentral:misc_RNA from 1 species